GUAAACCUAGCAGAAUUAGUUAUGGCAAAGAGGAGAGGUCGCCCAAGAAAGGAACUAGUUCCAAUUUAUGCGAGUGAUUUAGUCUUCCGAAAUGCAGUUAAUACUGUGCAGAUGGUAGGUACUACUGUUCCAUCGAAUCCUCCGGUGGUUACUGUUCCAUUGCCUCAAGUAAUACCAGAUCUACAACCAUCUAGUGUUCCAAUGUUACCAGUAGCAACAGUGAAGAGUAUAGAACCUCCAAUCAAGGCAGUAGCUGGUCCGAAGGAGCAGGAAAAUGGAGACCAGACC
rnacentral:lncRNA from 1 species